rnacentral:lncRNA from 1 species
AUUUAGUGAUUGCUGCGGGAAGGAUCUGUUGUUCCUGCAGUGAAGAAGCACUGCUGAUGUGUGACAUUCACAGAAAUCCCACAGGAAACAGACAGGAAGAAGCAAGUCCCAUCUCCCUCCUCCAGCCUUGCAGCUGCCUGACUGUGCUUAUGAGCAGAGCCUUACCUUGAGGCAACAAGUAAAGCAGAGACGUGGAGUGAAGAACCCCAGCUCUAACCUCAGACAGCAGAGAAUAGAAGCUGUAUGAGUUUUCCAAGGAUGUCUGGAAAUAAUGCACAGAAUCAGUGUGCCAUUGUUUACCUGAGACUUCAUUAACGAGCACAGAUGGCACCUCCUCUCAGAAGACUUCCUAUUAAACAGAAUUCCUCAGCUGUGAUCUGAAAGCUUUUUCAUUUGUGUCUCCUUCAAUGGUGAAUGAUCUCAACCUAUCUGAAAUUGGUGUGAGAUGAGUCAAGACACAUUUAUUGUUCUAUAUGGACGUCCAAUCGACCUAGAAGCACUUACUGAAAAGGCUAUCCUUUCCUACUACACUUUUGUGACAUCUUUGUAAAAAUCAAGGAUGGAUGGAUGGAUGGAUGGAUGGUGGAUAGACAGACAGAUGGAUGGAUAAAUAGGUAUAGAUAUAGACAUAGAUAUAGAUAUACGUGUACAUGUAUAUACAGAUAGAUACAGACUGUUCCUGAAUUCUCUAUUCUAUUCCAUUGCUCCAAAUAUUACAUUAUCUUAAUCAUUGAGCUUUAUUAUAAUUCUUGAUCUGUGGUAGUGUGUAAAUCCUCUAAGUUUGUUCCUCUUCUUCAGGAUCAUUUCGAAUUUUCUUGGCCUUUUGCAUUUCCAUAUAAAUUUUAGAAUCAGCCUAUCAAUUUCCAUAAACACACAGUGGUAAUUGCUGGGGUUUUAAGUAGGAUUACAUUGAAUUUAUAGUAUAAUUUGAAGAGAAUCACCUUUACAAUAUCAAGUCACCCAAUUCAAAAAUGUGGUAUGCCUCUCUAUUUAUUUGGACUAUCUUUAAAUUAAGUCAAGGAUAUUUCUUAUUUUUGUAGAGUGGUCUUUCACAUUAUUUAUUACAUUUAUUCCUAAUUAUUUG